rnacentral:tRNA from 1 species
CGCUCUGUGGCGCAAUGGAUAGCGCAUUGGACUUCUAGGCUGUGAGCUGAGCCAUUCAAAGGUUGUGGGAUCGAGUCCCACCAGAGUCG